GACGAACGCUGGCGGCGUGCUUAACACAUGCAAGUCGUACGGUAAGGCCCUUUCGGGGGUACACGAGUGGCGAACGGGUGAGUAACACGUGAGUAACCUGCCCACAACUUUGGGAUAACGCUAGGAAACUGGGGCUAAUACUGGAUAUGUGCUCCUGCUGCAUGGUGGGGGUUGGAAAGCUCCGGCGGUUGUGGAUGGACUCGCGGCCUAUCAGCUUGUUGGUGGGGUAGUGGCCUACCAAGGCGGCGACGGGUAGCCGGCCUGCGAGGGUGACCGGCCACAUUGGGACUGAGAUACGGCCCAGACUCCUACGGGAGGCAGCAGUGGGGAAUAUUGCACAAUGGGCGCCAGCCUGAUGCAGCAACGCCGCGUGCGGGAUGACGGCCUUCGGGUUGUAAACCGCUUUCAGCAGGGACGAAGCUUUUUGUGACGGUACCUGCAGAAGAAGCACCGGCUAACUUCGUG
rnacentral:rRNA from 1 species